rnacentral:lncRNA from 1 species
GUUGGGGCAAAGUAUGGACACAACAUUUAAGCUUGAUAUAGCUCUGAAUUUGGAUUGUGAUUAAAUAGUUGACACAACAGAAUGAGUGUGGUCUAAGAACUUAAACUUAAAAACUUUAAAAAAUUUAAUUUGACAUUUACCUAUUAUGGUCCAAUAUCCAAAAUCUAAAUACAUGGUUAGAUUCAGCAUAUCAUAGAACCCCAAGAAUUCAAUUUUUGAUGCAAUCAAAUAAUGUUCAAUUUUAGACCCCAUUAGACUUCAAUGUGGACCAAUUUGAUAACCGGGCCCAAAUAUUAAAAAUCUAAAUACAUGGUUAGAUUCAGCAUAUUGAAGAACCCCAUUUAUUCAAUUUUGUUGAAAUCAAACAAAGUUUAAUUUUGGACCCCGAUUUGGACCAACUUGAAAACUGGGCCCAUAAUAAAAAAUCUUAGUACAUUUUUAGAUUCAGCAUUAUCAAAGAACCCCAAGAAUUAAAUUUUUGUUAAAAUCAAAAUAAGUUUAAUUUUGGAUCCUUUGGACCUUAAUGUAAA